rfam:Virgibacillus soli strain PL205 scaffold000103, whole genome shotgun sequence.
UUCGCUACAUCGCCGGAUGGUGCAGUAUUCUAGUCAAUCUACCGGUUCUGAAGGUGGGCCUAAAAAUUCACUAAAGGGCAUAUCGAUGAAGUUCCUUGUUCCGGCUUGAGGAGCCCAGCCUUGGGUCGGAGCUGGGAGUAAAGGUUUAAGGGCGAUCCACAAAGGCAUGUGGGCGUAGACCCUUUACCGCGGAGGCUUCACAUAUUCAGCUGGUAAUUUGCACUGCAUGAAUAGUGGAGUAUAGACCUGCAAUGUGACAAAAGGGUAUCACUAGCAGCGUAGCCUGCCUUGAGUGAAGUUAGAGGGGAUUAUGGUUAUAAGAAAUAAGACACGGUUGGCCAUCGUACUUAUUUUUUCCGUCCAUAUGAAAUCUGCUUUGCAAAAGAGGCUAGGAACCAGGUUCAGGGUUGUUGAGGAAAUCUCCUAGACUGUUCUUUGACGUAAUAAGGGGAUUAUAGUGCGGACUAAGUGGUAAUCCAGUCUGACAUAAGGCGACUUUGUCAAAGCGAAUUUAAAGGGAAACCGCCGAGAUGGUGACAUUCGGUAUUUGUUUGGGAAAACCUACUGGACCUAAGCCGUAAUUUUUACUCUUAUUAUGACCAUCCGGCACACUAAUGGA